AUUGAACGCUGGCGGCAUGCCUUACACAUGCAAGUCGAACGGCAGCACGGGAGCAAUCCUGGUGGCGAGUGGCGAACGGGUGAGUAAUAUAUCGGAACGUGCCCAGUCGUGGGGAUAACGUAGCGAAAGCUACGCUAAUACCGCAUACGAUCUAUGGAUGAAAGCGGGGGAUCGCAAGACCUCGCGCGAUUGGAGCGGCCGAUAUCAGAUUAGGUAGUUGGUGAGGUAAAGGCUCACCAAGCCGACGAUCUGUAGCUGGUCUGAGAGGACGACCAGCCACACUGGGACUGAGACACGGCCCAGACUCCUACGGGAGGCAGCAGUGGGGAAUUUUGGACAAUGGGCGCAAGCCUGAUCCAGCAAUGCCGCGUGCAGGAUGAAGGCCUCGGUUGUAACUGCUUUGUACGG
rnacentral:rRNA from 1 species